rnacentral:rRNA from 1 species
GAAGGGGUGUAUUGAUUAGAUAAAAAACCAAUGCCCUUCGGGGCUCUUUGGUGAUUCAUGAUAACUUAACGGAUCGCAUGGCCUUGCGCCGGCGACGGUUCAUUCAAAUUUGUGCCCUAUCAACUUUCGAUGGUAAGGUAUUGGCUUACCAUGGUUUCAACGGGUAACGGGGAAUUAGGGUUGGAUUCCGGAGAGGGAGCCUGAGAAACGGCUACCACAUCCAAGGAAGGCAGCAGGCGCGCAAAUUACCCAAUCCCGACACGGGGAGGUAGUGACAAUAAAUACUGAUACAGGGCUCUUUUGGGUCUUGUAAUCGGAAUGAGUACAAUUUAAACCCCUUAACGAGGAACAAUUGGAGGGCAAGUGUGGUGCCAGCAGCCGCGGUAAUUCCGGCUCCAAUAGCGUAUAUUAAAGUUGUUGCAGUUAAAAAGCUCGUAGUUGAAACUUGGGCCUGGCUGGCGGGUCCGCCUCACCGCGUGCACUCGUCCGGCCGGGCCUUCCUUCUGAAGAACCUCAUGCCCUUCACUGGGCGUGCUGGGGAACCAGG